rnacentral:rRNA from 1 species
CGAAUGCUGACGUGAGUAACGACAAAACGGGUGAAAAACCCGUUCGCCGAAAGACCAAGGGUUCCAGUCCAACGUUAAUCGGGGCUGGGUGAGUCGACCCCUAAGGCGAGGCCGAAAGGCGUAGUCGAUGGGAAAAUGGUUAAUAUUCCAUUACUUCUGUGUAAUGCGAUGAGAGGACGGAGAAGGCUAAAUCAGCCUGGCGUUGGUUGUCCAGGUGAAAGGAUGUAGGCAUGUAUCUUAGGCAAAUCCGGGGUACUCUAUGCUGAGAUCUGAUAGCAAGCUGUACUUGUACAGCGAAGUGGUUGAUGCCAUGCUUCCAGGAAAAGUCUCUAAGCUUCAGUUACACAGGAAUCGUACCCGAAACCGACACAGGUGGUCAGGUCGAGUAGACCAAGGCGCUUGAGAGAACUCUGCUGAAGGAACUAGGCAAAAUGGUACCGUAACUUCGGGAGAAGGUACGCUGUUGUUGGUGAUGGAACUCGCUUCCUGAGCUGACGACAGCCGCAGAAACCAGGCCGCUGCAACUGUUUAUUAAAAACAUAGCACUCUGCAAACACGAAAGUGGACGUAUAGGGUGUGAUGCCUGCCCGGUGCUGGAAGGUUAAUUGAUGGGGUUAGCGUAAGCGAAGCUCUUGAUCGAAGCCCCAGUAAACGGCGGCCGUAACUAUAACGGUCCUAAGGUAGCGAAAUUCCUUGUCGGGUAAGUUCCGACCUGCACGAAUGGCAUAAUGAUGGCGGCGCUGUCUCCAGCAGAGGCUCAGUGAAAUCGAAAUCGCUGUGAAGAUGCAGUGUACCCGCGGCUAGACGGAAAGACCCCGUGAACCUUUACUGCAGCUUGACACUGAACUUUGACCUUACUUGUGUAGGAUAGGUGGGAGGCUUUGAAGCUGGAACGCUAGUUCCAGUGGAGCCGUCCUUGAAAUACCACCCUGGUAAUGUUGAGGUUCUAACUCUGUCCCGUGAUCCGGGACGAGGACCGUGUCUGGUGGGUAGUUUGACUGGGGCGGUCUCCUCCUAAAGAGUAACGGAGGAGUACGAAGGUGCGCUCAGCGUGGUCGGAAAUCACGCGUAGAGUAUAAAGGCAAAAGCGCGCUUAACUGCGAGACCCACAAGUCGAGCAGGUACGAAAGUAGGUCUUAGUGAUCCGGUGGUUCUGUAUGGAAGGGCCAUCGCUCAACGGAUAAAAGG